UACAGACGGCGCAAGCGUUAUCCGGAAUGAUUGGGCGUAAAGCGUCUGUAGGUGGUUCGCGAAGUCUACUGUCAAAUCCCAGGGCUCAACCUUGGACAGGCAGUGGAGAACUCGCGGACUAGAGUACGGUAGGGGUAGAGGGAAUUCCCGGUGAAGCAGUGAAAUGCACAGAGAUCGGGAAGAACACCAGUGGCGAAGGCGCUCUACUAGGCCGUGACUGACACUGAGCAGACGAUAGCUAGGGGGAGCGAAGUGGG
rnacentral:rRNA from 1 species